UACGCUCGUCUCAAAGAUUAAGCCAUGCAUGUGUAAGUAUAAAUAAUUUUACUUUGAAACUGCGAAUGGCUCAUUAUAUCAGUUAUAGUUUAUUAGAAAUAUUUUACUACUUGGAUAACCGUAGUAAUUCUAGGGCUAAUACAUGAGUAAAACCUCAACUUCGGAAGAGGUGUGUUUAUUAGUAUGAAAACCAUAUAUCUUCGGAUAUAAUAGUGAGUAAUAAUAACCUUUCAUAUCGUAUGUCGUAAGAUAACGAUAGUUCUUUCAAGUUUCUGCCCUAUCAGCUUUCGAUGGUAGUAUAUGGGACUACCAUGGCAGUAACGGGUAACGAAGAAUUUGGGUUCGAUUUCGGAGAGGGAGCCUGAGAGAUGGCUACCACAUCCAAGGAAGGCAGCAGGCGCGUAAAUUACCCAAUCCUGACAUAGGGAGGUAGUGACAAUAAAUCACAAUGCGGAACUUUUAGUUUUGCAAUUGGAUUGAGAACAAUGUACAAAUGUUAUCGAUAA
rnacentral:rRNA from 1 species